GCGAGCUUAGAUACACAAGGUAUACAGCUCCAAUAGAUUAAUUGUCUUGCAGGUGUUUAAACUUUAGAGUAAACCAUACCUUUUUUAUACGUUUCCAGAGGUAAUCAUCAAAAUUUACCUCCUUGACUAGUUCAUAAUCACCAUUUCCCUGAUAAAUAAUGGCAGGUUUGUCAAAGAAAUUUCUCAGUGAAAGCUAGGCAGUAUAAGAACUAAAUUUUGAGAACCAGGAACCUCUGAUCUACACGGCAUGCUGAAUACAAUGUCCUCCACGAUGCCAUAAGGAUUGCCAUUAGUAUAAACCUAUGGAUGCCAUGUAAAAUGUGAGACUUGGAAUAUUUUCAGCAAAAAAAGAUAAAGACAUAUAUAUAUAUAUAUAUAUAUAUAUAUAAUAANNNNNNNNNNNNNNNNNNNNUAAAGACAUAUAUAUAUAUAUAUAUAUAUAUAUAUAUAAAUUAAUGAUCUAGGGAAAUUUGAAUCUUGACAUCCUGAUUUAUGCCAGGACUGUUUCUGGAUACAUUCUGAUAAUACAAGAAACCAAGAAUGCCAGCUUGGUUUUAUUGAACAUAUCUAAUUAGGUACAUCACUACUCUGAUUUCAUACUUGACAUCUGACAGUAAGAUACGGAAAAAAAUUAAGAUGUAUUUUCUUUAAAAAGAUGAAGUUACACAACAAGAGCAUCUUGACAAUUCUUGAGUCUAAAAUGCUAAAAGUUGAUUACUGUAAAAAUAAAACAAAUGGCAGGUGUAAAAACUAAUCCUUUCUUAAUGCAACUUGUACUGGAGAAAUCAAUUCCAAUGGAGAUGAGUUGGCUGCAAAUUUACCCCUGAAGAGAACCAAUCCCCUGGGGGAGUGGGUGUGAUAAGGGACCUCAUGGCAUCCACAAUUGAGACGGCAGUUGAUGCAGCAGAAGACCUUCCCCAUUUUUGGAUAAGCACACCUCCACGCUGCAAAUCAAGUAACAUGCUUUGACUAGUAAACUAAACAAAUAAUUCUAGAACUACUAUACUCAUCUUUGCAUAAAUAUUGAAAUAACGAUAGUACACCAUCCUAUGAUUUUGUGGUCAGUAUGUACCUUCUGAACUCUUUCAGUGAACUCUUCCUGUAACCACUUGGUAUCGGUGAUAACUUCCUUUACAGGAAUGCCAUUGAUUUUAGCAUUUAAAAAAUCAGGAACCUGCUAGAAUAAAAUAUGUAUUUGUUAAUUCAUAAAGCUGUUCUUUUUUCUAUAAUAACCUUUCAGUUUGCUUUAAUAAAAUUUCAAAGUUCUCUAUCACCCCAAAAUAAAAAAAGUCAAAGUUGGUUUAUUUCAAAAGUUGUAAGAGAUUCCAAGAAUAUAAUAAUUUAAAUUCAUCCCAAUAAUUAAGGAUAUUCCUUGACCUGAGUGGUUGAGUGGUUUCCCCAUAUGGUCAUGUUUGACACUUGAUCGUAAAAUACACCUGCUUUGAGGGCUAGCUGCAGAAAUUGGAGUAAAUUUUUGAUUUAUCAUUGUCUGAUGAAUGUAUAGAGGCAGUUACAACUUGCAGCUUAAAAACCCAAUACAGAGAUUGUGCACAACUGUUCACCUGGCAUUUGGCUCUAUUUUCGUCCAAUCUUGUCAAGGCAUGGAAAUUUUUUGCAGGAAUGUUUGGUGCAUUCUUUAAACAAAUAAGUGCACUGCACAGAAGGUAUUUAGUAGAUUAGCGGUAACAAUGUGCAUAGCACUAAGUAAGGCACGUAUCUGUAAAGAUAGAAGUUAUAAUGAAUAAAGAAUAUGUCUUGCACUUUGUAUUGCAUGGAUUUCCAACGACCAUCACUUUGACAUUGCGGGAUGCUACUGCAUUGAGUGCUUUUCCCUGAAAUUCAUUUAAUUCCAAGAAUCAAGAUUUGCAAGAAAAAUAUAGCAGUGAUCAACCUUGAUUCAUAUCAUUUUUGUAUAGGUACAAUAGUUAGUUGAAGCAGCACCUGUUCUGCAAAAAUUUGCCCAUUAAUAUCUAGUAAUCCAGCCCGUUCCAUUCCAGGACCACGGGGCUUUGCCCCAAUCAGGAGUGCCCAUUCUGCAUCUUGAAACACCUUGUAAGGAUCUAUGCCUAUGCUUACCUCCCUCAACAGAGGAUACAGAGAGUCCUCCAACUCCAUGGCCACUCCUACAUUUGUAAAGGCAAAAUUAAGGAAAAAGAAAAAGAAAAGCAAGAAUGGGAGAACUAAUGUCAUAGGAUAAUUAGUGGCUAUUCAACAGAAAUUCUACACGAAACUGGGUUAUCUGUUUGACAAAUUACUGCAGUCAAAUAAAUCUUACCUUCAAGAGCUUGAAAUGAUCUUUCAGAUCCCAACAAUUUCAGAGUAAUAGGUUGAUCCGGCCCAAAAACUUCACCAGAUGCAAGCUGAAAUUUCAAAUAAGUUCAUCAGGAUACUCUUCAACUUUGACAUCAGGUAUGCAUAACAAAACAUAUGCAAAACAUAAACACAAAAACAUUAGACAAUCAUAUGAAAAUUCAUUAUAUGGUAGGGUUUUUUGCAUGUAUACCCUCCUAAAUUUGUAAAAUUAUAUGAAUAACCUUGUAAAAUUACUAUUUGCAUAUAUAUUCUUUUUUUUUUUGGCAUAUGUACCCGUACUAUCUAACAUCGUUAAAAAAUAAAUGGCUUAAAACUAAAUUGACUGAAAUACCCUUAUGGGUAGAUAUGCAAAAAAAAAGUUAUAAGGGUAUACAUGCAAAUAGCAACUUUACGAGGGUAUUCAUGCAAUUUCUCAUAUUUAGAAGGAUAUACAUUUAAAAAAUUUAUUUAAAAAAAAUAAAACUCGUCUGGCACUUGCUGAGUUUUUUUAUGAUUCAGUUGGAUCGACAAGUCAAAAAAAAAAUGAGCCACGUCGUCAAUUUUUUUUUUUAAGAUCAUGACUCGGUCAAAUUGGAAUAUUAGAUGAUCAUUUUGGUAAUGUUAUUCUCCAUUUGAAUUUGAUAUAAUUAUCAUUAUUGAAUCUAUGACAUCUAUAUAUACUUCAAAUAAUUAUCAUUAUUUGAAUUUUAAAAGAUUAAAGCAUAUCAAAUUUAAAUUAAUUAUAAAUGCUCAGAUUAGUAAAAUAUUUUUUAGUGAUUUGUAAAUGUUAAGUUGUUGUUUGUUUGUGAGGCGAAAAUUUCAUAAAAGCAACAUGAUUCAUUCUAUAAGAGUUAAUAUUAGCAUGAGAUCAUAUGACAUGAUAAUAUUAAUCCCUUUUUGCCAUCUUUUUUUAUUAAGAACAAUUGAAUUAUCUUUAUUGAAUUUUGAUUAUUUUUAUUAGAUUUUUUUAAAGUGUAUACCCUCCUAACUAUGAUUAAUAGCAUGAUUAUCCUUGUAAAGUUGCUAUUUGCAUGUGUAUCCUUAUAAGGUUUUCUCUUUGCACGGCUACUUGUAAGGGUAUUUUAGUCAUCACAAAUUUACAUCAUUUAUUUUUAACGGUGUCAAAUGGUAUGGAUAUAUAUAUAUAUAUAUAUAUAUAUAUAUAUAUAUAUAUACAGUAUAAAGGCUUUUGGCUGUGGCUUCUCUUGCCUUUUUGUACAUAUUAUUUUGAAACCAAAUAUCUUCCCAACACAUUCACCGGCCACUGCUCUUUCCACAUCUAUAGCUACUCUCAUCCUUGAUAAAUACAAACAUUUAUUAAUUUAUAUUUUAAUAUGAGAGGGACAAGAGAAGCAUUCCUCCCAAAAGCUGUAUUGCAUUUGUAUAAAUUACAUAAAUAAUAGAAAAUAUCUUUCUGGGAAAUCACAGCCAUCCUUAUUUCCUUUCAUGUGCAUCCCAGGAAGCAAAUAGUAGCAGAAGACUCUUAAUUUUGUGGUACAACAUCUGCAAUUUGAAUGAAGCCACAUGGCCACUUAUACAUACACAAAUCAUAGCAAUAAGCAGCUUUCGAUGGCCUUGUACUCCUGCUAAUGGUUUUCUUCACCAUAUUAUUAAAUGCCAUCUCUCACUAAUCUUACUGCUCUCCUGGGAGCAUAGUGUCCUCCGGAAGAUCGCAGAAUGCAUUACCCUCUCCAGUAAGAUGGGCUACACAUCUUUUCUCGGCAAGCAACUCAGCUUCAGUCUUUUUUAUACGUUUCCAGAGGUAAUCAUCAAAAUUUACCUCCUUGACUAGUUCAUAAUCACCAUUUCCCUCUGAUCUACACGGCAUGCUGAAUACAAUGUCCUCCACGAUGCCAUAAGGAUUGCCAUUAGUAUAAANN
rnacentral:lncRNA from 1 species